CAUGGCUAGCGGGAAGAGGGCGGCAGGUAGCCUAGCUGUAAGAGGGCGGCAGGUAGCCUAGCUGUAAGAGGGCGGCAGGUAGCCUAGCUGUAAGAGGGCGGCAGGUAGCCUAGCUGUAAGAGGGCGGCAGGUAGCCUAGCGGUAAGAGGGCGGCAGGUAGCCUAGCGGUAAGAGGGCGGCAGGUAGCCUAGCGGUAAGAGGGCGGCAGGUAGCCUAGCGGUAAGAGGGCGGCAGGUAGCCUAGCGGUAAGAGGGCGGCAGGUAGCCUAGCGGUAAGAGGGCGGCAGGUAGCCUAGCGGUAAGAGGGCGGCAGGUAGCCUAGCGGUAAGAGGGCGGCAGGUAGCCUAGCGGUAAGAGGGCGGCAGGUAGCCUAGCGGUAAGAGGGAGGCAGGUAGUCUAGCGGUAGGAGUGCGUUUUGAACGUGGAAGUAUUUUAUUUUGGAAGCGUUUUUUUUGCAGAAAUACCUUCUCGAACAUGUGAACUUUCAUGUGCCUUAAUAAUGGUUUAUGCCAUCUGUAAAUACAAAUAAAAUUAUAAAUUACGAGCUUAGUUGGUUAAGCCACAGAAAAGUCAGCAACCUUCCCACUAGCCAUGAUUAGCUGAGACAAUGAGUGGGCUGAACAUAAUAUAAUAAUAUAUGCCAUUUAGCAGACGCUUUUAUCCAAAGCGACUUACAGUCGUGCAUACAUUCUACGUAUUCUACAAUGUUCUAUUACUGCUAUGCUACCUGCCGCCUUCAAUAUUCUAUUGUUAUCUGAUGUUGUGCUUGGCUGAUAUUCUGCUC